rnacentral:rRNA from 1 species
GAUGAACGCUGGCGGCGUGCCUAAUACAUGCAAGUCGAGCGAAUGGAUUAAGAGCUUGCUCUUAUGAAGUUAGCGGCGGGCGGGUGAGUAACACGUGAGUAACCUGCCCAUAAGACUGGGAUAACUCCGGGAAACCGGGGCUAAUACCGGAUAACAUUUUGAACCGCAUGGUUCGAAAUUGAAAGGCGGCUUCGGCCGUCACUUAUGGAUGGACCCGCGUCGCAUUAGGUAGUUGGGGAGGUAACGGCUCACCAAGGCAACGAUGCGUAGCCGACCUGAGAGGGUGAUCGGCCACACUGGGACUGAGACACGGCCCAGACUCCUACGGGAGGCAGCAGUAGGGAAUCUUCCGCAAUGGACGAAAGUCUGACGGAGCAACGCCGCGUGAGUGAUGAAGGCUUUCGGGUCGUAAAACUCUGUUGUUAGGGAAGAACAAGUGCUAGUUGAAUAAGCUGGCACCUUGACGGUACCUAACCAGAAAGCCACGGCUAACUACGUGCCAGCCGCCGCAGUAA